AAACUCUUUCCUUUGGUUGUCACUAGUUAUCCCAGCCACAACGUCGAAAUUGGCUCGUACAAAUUCAUGAAAUCAGACAUUUACUUUUUGGUCAUUAUAUAAGGUUAGCAGUGGUUAUAGUUAGGUUUGAAAUCACAGUUUACGACGGUAAUUUGUAGAAAUUGGCGUGGUUUAGAUAUCAUUAUGACAACUAGUGAAUAACUAUAUUCUUUCGAGGAACAGCAACCACCGUUCCAGAUAUGACUGGAUGGACAACUCCCAUCCCCCUGUCAAACGUCGUUAGUCACUGGCGCGUUUUUUUUAACCAGAAUUUACUCAUGCAGCUGAUUGAUUAAAUGGAGCAAUGCAUUGUCACCACUGCUGUAUUCUAAUA
rnacentral:lncRNA from 1 species